UCCAGGCCCAGCUUUGUCUCAUUGUCCCACCUAUGACCGCGAAGGAAGCGUGCAAGCAAAGCGGCGCUCCGUGUUUUAGCCACAGUGUCGGCAGCACGGGGACCCAGGUAGUGCAAGCUUGCAGCGGCUGCGUCCGCCCGACUCGGUCGGGCCCUGGAGACCGCAUGGCUAGGACGAAGUCGCUGGGGCUUUGCAGCCUGAGCCUGCGUAGACCCUGGGGCGACCCGUUUGCGAGAUCGCGGCAGUGACUUAAGGCACCCCCUGGCAGAAGCGCGUUUGAAUCGGUUCCCGGGCUGCUUCCCAGCCUCUGCCCAGUCUGUGCUGCGCGGCCCGCCCAGGCCCGGAGCCGCGGGGGCUGGAGCCGAGGGCACGCGUGCAUUUCGUGUCUCCGGAGAGCCGCGGGGCCUUCUCCUUUUCCUCUCAACAAGGCAGCGGAAGGCGCCAAGCGAUCCAGGCGGCUUCUCGGUGGGAUCUGAGAGGGAUAGCGGCGUCGAUGGCUGUAGGACCGUGUGCUUGUUUGACCCGCGUGGGAAGGGCUUGGGGAUCGCGCACUGAAGGUCUCGGAGCGGGCGGGCUACGCAGGGUUCCGCGCUUCUGUGUGUCAGAUUCGAUUCCUGGAGCCUUAUUUCAGAUGAAGACCUGCUGCCUUAGCCAUCUCUGUGGAAAUGGGGCUAAGAAGACCUCCACAGGAAAAAAAACAUCACUAUUUGUCCAAAUCCUCCAACACUUGCUCCAGCUGGAUCCAUAGACAAUCCUGACUGUAUCUGGCUUUUUCUGACUUUGAAGUACUGUGUCUAUCUUCCUGAAGACAAGAUGACAUUUUCAUUUCAGAUUUUGGCCUUAUAUAGGAGAAAACUAAAUAAGAAGGAAUGCAUGAAGUUUAAGGACUUUCUCAUACAGGAGAUUCUGGAAUUGAAGCUGAAACAGAUAUCUUAGACUGAAGUGAAGAAAGCAUCUCAGAAAGAUCUUGCCAACUUACUUCUGAAAUGUGGGGAGAAUCAAGUCUGGGAUAUGACCUUCAAAAUCCUCCAGAAGAUCAAUAGGAAAGAUCUCACUGAAAGGGCAUCAGAAGAGAUUGCUG
rnacentral:lncRNA from 1 species